CUGAAUCCUUCUUUUUAGCUCAGAAUCCUUCUUUCUCGUUUUUAGAUCUUAGGUUCUUACAAUAUCUUCUGUAAAGAGAUUGUCCAAACAGUUUGAGGAGCAAUAGAGAAGCCCUGCUCUCGUUUGAGUGCAGGGAAGAAUGCCCUGCCCUUGUUUCUGGUGGAAAUUAAACUGAGAGCUGUUGGGAAUUAAAAUAUAGUUUUGAUGGGUUUCAAAAGCCCAGUCUUUUCAACCAUCAUCCAUCACACACUCUGCUCAAACCUCUCCCGUUGCCCCUCUUGCCUCUCUCCUUGCUCGCCAUCUCUAUGCCUGUCCUGCCUGCUCUCCCCCUCCAUAACUCUCCUUCCCCCUCUCGGAAAAACAGAGAACCGCCACUAAACCAUCUUCAAUGACCAACCUUUCAAACUUCCCAAAACUACCUAGGGCCCUCUGCUACUCCUUGGCCGUGCCACGUUCGGAGGAAAACGGAAGUUUAUGUUUUGACUCUCGACGAAUCCAACCGUCCCCGACUCGAAAAUAGACGAGAAAGCAAUCACAGAGGUAUUUCUAAAAGUUUUGGGCAACCUUAUAAAAUGUUGCAGAUGCCUGUGGAAAUGCCUCACAUGGAAUAGGUGCGAAGUGUUAAAAACACGGAUGCAACAUCAUCUGGGGAGGUUACAGCCUACAAUGUUGUUCGUCUAGAGUUGGCCAAUGCAAUUGGAGUUUACCUAGAAGCCAGAGGUCCAAUAUCAGCACUUAGUUAUGUCGAGGAAUUCCCUAGACUUUCUGCUGAUUUGAGAUAUCCAAACUGACGGAGUUCCACAGGUAUCCACAAAAUUCCAAGAUAACAUAUUCUAGUCUUUGUAAGUUUGGAUAUCACAAAAUUGGUGGGAAUUGAAAGUGGUAAUCAAAUUGGUCUUCAAUUUUCAAAAAGUUGAAAAUGAAUUAGAUGUCAAAAGGCCACGAGUUUUUCGAAUUUGGCUUUCAAUUUUUAGUUUUUAACUUUCAAGGAAAUGAGAACUUGAAACUUAAAAUUGAAAGGCUUUUAUUGUUUCAUCACCUUUUUUGUUUGUUGGACGGAUAAUUUUGUCUAUUAAAAACCUAUAUACAAUGAAAUAAUACUAUUCAAUUAAAGAUCAAAGAAAAUACUAAUUAAACUAAUAACAAAAUUAAAAAAAUAAAUUAAUAGUUACAGAAUCAUACUGCAGAAGUGGGGUGCUUAAUUUACACACACAAUUUGAUAUGUAUGAUUUUAAUUGAGAUUAGCAUAGGAGUUAUAGGCUGAUGAAUGGUUUAACCCAAAAUCACUCACUAUAAUUGUUAAUUAAAAAUACAUACCACCUUCAAAGCUAGGUACAAGGAGCAACCAAAAAAAAAAAAAAAAAGAAAGUAUAUAUAUAUAUAUAUAUAUAUAUAUAUAUAUGAUGGUGUGCAUCACUUGCAUCCGAUCCAUCAUUGUAAACAUCAGCAUAAUGCAACUCUCGAGCACCGCGUCUAAUCCCAACUAUUGGACACUUAGAACUAUAGUUUUCUUUGCAUUCUUUGUCAUGGUUGAAAUCAGGGACAUAAUAAAAAAUGUAGCCGCUUGGAACUCCAUGUUUUAUGUAGCAUAUAUAUUUUGAAAAUGCAACCCUACGUCUUGGUUUACAAAGGCAGUUCCACUGUUAGCAAGUGCUUCCAUUGAUGCAUUACUUGCCUUACGACUUUAAAUUAUCAACUAAAUUAUCCGUUGCUCCAAAAUCACCGCACACCAAACCAACAAUAGGUGGGUUUUUGAGAAUGGUUUGAAUUUUAGCUUAUUACUAAAGAAAAAAAAUACAAAACGCACAUGUAAAGACACUGAAAAUAAAAAAAAUAGUGGAUUAAUCGAAAAUAAUAAAUAGAGAUAAAGAAAAUUAUAGAGAAAAUUACUUCUAGUGUCUUCAAGAUCGACGAUCCUUGCAUCCGAUCCCAAUGUGAAGCCAUACUCCAAGAGCAUGGGUAAAACUUUAGUACCCGGGAAAAUCUGUCAUUUAAAAAGUCACUUUCUGCAGUAAUCUAUUCAGCCAUGCUCUUGGAGCAUGGCUUUACAUUGGGAUCGGAUGCAAGGAUUGUCGAUCUUGAAGACACUAGAAGUAAUUUUCUCUAUAAUUUUCUUUAUCUUUAUUUAUUAUUUUCGAUUAAUCCACUAUUCUUUUUUAUUUUCAGUGUCUUUAGAUGUGCAUUUUGCAUUUUUUUUUCUUGAGUAAUAAGUGAUAACCUUAAGAUUCAAACAAUCCUCGAAAACCCAUCUAUUGUUGGUUAGGUGUGCGGUGACUUUGGAGCAACGGAGAAUUUAGUUGAUAAUUUAAAGUCUUAAGGCAAAAAGUAAUGCAUCAAUGGAAGCAAUUGCUAACAGUAGAACUGCCUUUGUAAACCAAGACGUAGGAUUGCAUUUUCAACAUAUGUAUGCUACAUAGAACAUGGAGUUCCAAGCGGCCACAUUUUUUAUUAUGUCCUUAAUUUCAAUCAUGACAAAGAAUGCAAAGAAGACUAUAGUUGUAAGUGUCCAAUAGUUGGGAUUAGAUGCGGUGAUCGGGAGUUGCAUUAUGCUGAUGUUUACAAUGAUGGAUCGGGUGCAAGUGAUGCACACCAUCAUUCGUAUUUACUGUUUUCUGAUGGAAUGAGGGUGAAAAAUGUUGAUACUGCCGAUGACUACGAGAUUACGACAAGAAAAUUGAAGAUGAAUUCAAACCAAGCAAGAAGGAUCACCCGAUUUUCUAUGUUAUUGUUGGGUGUUUGAUUUGGCUGUCCUCUGUAUGCACUCGCCUUGGAAUAUCACAUCUGUGCAGUGCCUAUUAAUUUGGAUCAACGCUUUGAUUUAAUUGGCUUGACUGGUGUUGUUUGCUUCAAGGGUGUGCGUGUGUUUUUUAAUCAACAGAUGUAGUGAAUGAUUUACAUAGACGUUGCUAUCGAGCAGGCAAGCUUCUGCAUUCUCGAGUCAUUGUUGGUCUUUUGAGUUUUGUGGAUAUUUUGUUUGAGUAAUGAUGUUCAUAUGGUCCUCCUCUUUCGUUUGUGUCGAUUGUUAGUUUUGAGUCCGUUUCCAAAACCAAAAAUGGUGGUUAAUUGUGCCAAAUUGAAUAUUAAAGUGCCGGCAUGAAAUUUUUAAUGAAGUUUGAGAACAUACCAUUUCUUCAUUUUAGUAUACAGUUUGUACUUAACGGCUCUACAUAUGGCUAAGAGUUGGAUGAAAUAUUAGAUCAUGCUGAAGCUAAUCUUGCUUCCAGCUAUGUUGUCCCUUGAGCAAAUCAUUUUCCCAAUAUAUGGAAUCUUGGUUGCAGUUAGUGGAUCUCUAUUUCACAUUUCAUUUUGGAUAUCGAUUGUUUCUCACUUUGGCUUGUAUGUGGAGGAUUUGGAUUUACUCUCAUCUCAAUCAUGGUCCUUUGUUAUCUUAUCUUAGCUUAUAAUAUAUGUAUGUUAAGGCGUAACUCCCCGUGAUGUUCUAAGUCUGCAGAUAUAUGUCUCUAUCCUAAGUAAUUUGGAGUUCAUUAAGGUUAUUGUGUUCUUUUUCACUAUAUAUUUGUCUCUUGGUCCCUGGAUUUCUCAUUUGGACAGAUCUUUGUGUUGUGACCUAGUUUCUCCAGACAAGGCUACUCUCAAAUUGCCAUCUAGUUGUCCAAUUUGCACUAAGCCUGGCCACUGGCCGAAUCAAUGCGCCUGGAAGAAACAGGUCCCCAUUGGCGUAACUCAGGUUGGCAAGGGCUAUGUAGUAGAUGGGCGGUGUGUUAUUCUGCUUAAGUGUGCUUAUUGUCAUUAGAGUGGUACUCACAGGGUUCCUGACCACCCGGAUUGGAACAAACUACUCAAGGAAACUGGAGGGGAUGUGCCCUUGCACCCCUGUUGGUUCGAUACAUCACCUGAUGAUUGAUGAAGCUGAGGACGACUGGGUGCAUGUAUGCAGCAGCUGUUGAAUUAUUGUUUCAUUUUAGUGCUCUAUGUUAUAUAUAUUUUAUUGUGGACCCACGUAUGUCUUGGAAUAAUUAAGCUAGAUAGCUCUGUUGUCGUCGCGGAUAUAUAUACUUUGUUGUUGGGUGUUUUCUGUGUUUGAUUUGGCUGUCCCUUGCCUUGGAAUAUCACAUCUGUGCAGUGCCUAUUAAUUUGGAUCAACGCUUUGAUUUGA